rnacentral:rRNA from 1 species
UACGAGGGGGGCGAGCGUUGUUCGGAAUUAUUGGGCGUAAAGGGUGCGUAGGCGGUUUGGUAAGUCUCUUGUGAAAUCUAUGGGCUCAACUCAUAGUCUGCAAGGGAAACUGCCGGGCUUGAGUGUGGGAGAGGUGAGUGGAAUUUCCGGUGUAGCGGUGAAAUGCGUAGAUAUCGAGAGGAACACCUGCGGCGAAGGCGGGUUGCUGGGCCGACACUGACGCUGAUGCGCGAAAGCCAGGGGAGCGAACGGG